UCAUGUCCUUAUAAGUGUCUAGACGAAAUAGAAAAACAGUGUUGGCUAUCCGAGGUGUUUAACCUACAAAUAUUUUCUCAGCGAAUAAAGUGAAAAUUCAGUCACUACACAUACAGAAAACCAAUAGAUAGAAAGCCGAGAGAUGGAAAUUCAAAAAAACCCAAUUAGGGUGAAGAAAGAACCGAAAUAAACUAGUGCAGAUGCAGGUGACGAUUAUAUAUUUGAUUCAGUGGACUCUUGCAAAGUCAAAAACUUGGAAAAUUUUCCGUAUUACAAUCCAUUAGCAAAUAAAAUGAAUGAAACGAUCGAGUUACCCGACAAGUUAGGUAAAAAAGUAUCCAUGGAUUUCGAGUGCAAACAAGAACCCGA